UAAACGAAAUUCUGCCACAGUAGUGCUUUGUCUUACUUUGACAAAGAUUGGUAUUUCCAUCUUAUACUUGCUAAGUGGACAAAACAAUUUUUCCGCAAGUAUAAGAUGGAAAUACCAAUCUUUGUCAAAGUAAGACAAAGCACUACUGUGGCAGAAUUUCGUUUAC
rnacentral:pre_miRNA from 1 species